CCUACGGGAGGCAGCAGUGGGGAAUUUUGGACAAUGGGCGCAAGCCUGAUCCAGCAAUGCCGCGUGAGUGAAGAAGGCCUUCGGGUUGUAAAGCUCUUUUGUCAGGGAAGAAACGGUGGGGGCUAAUAUCUCCUACUAAUGACGGUACCUGAAGAAUAAGCACCGGCUAACUACGUGCCAGCAGCCGCGGUAAUACGUAGGGUGCAAGCGUUAAUCGGAAUUACUGGGCGUAAAGCGUGCGCAGGCGGUUUUGUAAGUCUGUCGUGAAAGCCCCGGGCUCAACCUGGGAAUUGCGAUGGAGACUGCAAGGCUUGAAUCUGGCAGAGGGGGGUAGAAUUCCACGUGUAGCAGUGAAAUGCGUAGAGAUGUGGAGGAACACCGAUGGCGAAGGCAGCCCCCUGGGUCAAGAUUGACGCUCAUGCACGAAAGCGUGGGGAGCAAACAGGAUUAGAUACCCUGGUAGUCCACGCCCUAAACGAUGUCUACUAGUUGUCGGGUUUUAAUUAACUUGGUAACGCAGCUAACGCGUGAAGUAGACCGCCUGGGGAGUACGGUCGCAAGNUUAAAACUCAAAUGAAUUGACGG
rnacentral:rRNA from 1 species